rnacentral:lncRNA from 1 species
UGCCGGAGGUUCUAGAAUUGAGACCCUGUUGCCCAGCAACCUUGAUAAUACACAUAGAGUGACUUUUCCUCCUUCCUGGGCUUGCUCACUUCCUUUCCCUUUACCCCUGCUUCCUGGGAUCUCCUCCCAAACGAACGAGUCCUGUCUCAGGCUCUGCUUCUGGGGGAACCCAAGCUAAGAGAGAAGUGCUAUUAACAACCGGAGGAUCUGAAUGCCAUCUCUUACCUUUCAGAAUUGUCACUUACACCUAAACCAGAGAGGAGGAGAGUCCCAACGCUGGCUUUGAAACACCUCUGACCCACAGGAAAUGGCUGUUUUCAAGUGUCAGGAGGAAGCCCGGGGAGCUUGACUUGGAAAGACUUACAGUGCAGAGGACAGCAGACACAGCGGAGUGUGGGAGGUAAUGCCUGAAGCUUCACUAGAGGGAUUCAGUGAAAGUUUGCAGCCUGCCUGCAAGGACCUCCCCCAGAGCCUUCCUCAGGAGGCUGGCGGUCAAGCACGGACUCCCCAAAAGAAAGACUGGAGAGGAUAAGUACCCCCAGACUGACAAGUUAACGCGAAGGGCCGGCGCUGGCCCCCCAAGCACCUCUGCAGAGACCCGGGAUGCCAGGGAGGCCCAUUUACAAGCCAGCAAUUCCAAAGGUAUUAGCCCAGAGUCACGAGGAACCCCGGAACACAUCCAGCAGAUGAACCCCUUGGAGAUCAGCAGAGUUUCCCAAGCACUCUGCCGUGGAUCAUAAUGUACAUAACGGCUCUUCACGUGGACGUGUUGCCAGCUCAACCUCCUUAUAAGAAUUCGGGAUGCGUUACAGAAACACGGCUCUCCAAAACUUCGCGUUCCUUUAAAAUUUCAUUCUGAGGAGUAGUCAUGAGGCCUGCUCUCGCCACGGCCAAGUCCACCACAUUAAAGCAAAUGAAAACCUAACUCAGAUGAUUCAUAUAAAAUUAGUCUUUCCAUAACCUUUUAUAUUAUCAAAGUGCUUUGCCCCUCUGGUGUUGGUCUGUGUAAACCAAGUGAUUCAGCCAGCCAAAACAUCAAGGAGAAAGAUCCCACCAGGCUUUGAUUGAAUUACAUAGUCCAUUUUGUUGUUGUUGUUGGCCAUUGCUGAAGUUUUCGUAUGAAAUUAAAAUGAAAGAGCCUACCCCUCCCAGCUAACAUCUCUGUAAGAAAAUCAUUGGCCGGCCUUUGUUCUCCUCCCCUCUGUAGAGUGAAGGACCAAGCCCUCCCAUUUGGUUGCAAGGUGGCACAUUUGAGAGCUUUGUCCCAAGAUACAAGGUAACCCAAAGAGUAGGUCUUCAGCUUGGGUUCUCCCAGCAGCAGACCCUGAGGCAAGAAUUUGAGUGUAAGCGACCCUGGGUGGCUCAGUCAGUGAAACCUCUGACUUCAGCUCAGGUCACCAUCGCGUGGUGCGUGUUUUCAAGAUAUACAUCAGGCUCUCUGCUGUCAGCGAAGAGCUUGCUUCAGAUCCCUUCUCUCCCUCUCUCACUGCCCCUCUCCCCCU